ensembl:lncRNA NCK1-DT NCK1 divergent transcript
GAGUAGAGAGCUAGAGGGUGAGAAGCGCUGGGCCGGACCAGAACUGUCUUAGCUUUUCCCUCUGCGGCUGCUCUGGUUGGUUACUUUGAGCCUGCCUCCUCAGCGCCGCAGGAGAGACUUAACAGCAAAAAUGACUGUGUCCUGAGUUCAGCCCCCACUGCUCUGGGAGCUUCCCCCUGGUUUCUGCACCUGAAGAAUGUCAUCCCAGCCGAAGGUUCUUAGGAGCGGGGAGCGACAAAGAAAAACAAAGAAAAGCAGACCUGAAAAUUGGGACCUGGGAGAAAUAGACGAGUGCUCUAAACCAGUAUCAUGGCUCCAGUUCCUCUGACAAGGAUUCACAUGGGAUCCCGAACCACUCAAAAGGACAAAACAAGGAAAUAGCAAUGAAAUUGGAUUCAGUGAAUGGGAUGGACCUCAUGCUGUUCUCUAAAACAUGAACAGAUUUCUGAUCUUCUGGACCAGGAAAUGAAGUCAGCACUAAAAGAGAAGACACCAUCAUCCAGCUCCUAGAAUUUCAAUCUAAGAAUCUGUAAUAAAAGCAGUAUUUCCCUCUACAGAAAUAUAGCAAAGUAAUAUGUUUACAUCUUAAUGAAAUGUACUCUUGAUAUGAUAAAACACAGUGUGAUAUUUAUAGCACUGGUGGUGCUGGCUGUCUGGUCCCUGAACCUCACCAAUUUUGGAGAAUCCCCUUGCUGUGGUUCUUGGCAGGUAGAGCAUUUGGCUUGAUGCUCCCAAGUUUCUUAUGGAAGGCACAUCUCUGGGGCUGACACUCUGUGUGGAUAAAUCUUCAUCUCAUUAGUCCAAGGGCCUUUUUUCCAUGAGCAUUUUCACAGAAGCUGUUUCACAAAUCAACUCCAUUGGUGUUGAAGACCUAAUAAAGGGCUCUCUAUCAAGUAAUUACAGCACUGAGGUUUGAAUUUCUGCUCCACAACCUUCUAGUUGUUUAAUUUAUGUCGGGAAGAGACUGGUCGAUAAGCAGGCCUGAAUCUGAGGAAGAAUUGGGGCCAAGGAGGUGGCCUGUGAGGUCAGGAGAUUGGUUACAUAAAAGAAGAAUGAGUAAAUAGUUAAAUAUAUCGAGGAUAAUGGAAGCCAGAUUUUUUUACCAAGAGAGAAGGAAGUUACAAAUAGAAUAAGGGUGAAGACUAGAAUGAACCCUGUAGUGUUGGAGUAGAGCUAGAGAUAUUGGAGUAAAUUCAUGAGUUUUAAUAUAAAUGGACAGAAAGAUAUAUAAAUAGAUAUAGGGGUGUGUGUGUGGGUGUGUGUGUGUGAAUUUCCUAGCUCUGUCUGCUAAAAUGGCCUAAAAACAGUAACACUCCAGUAGCAAUGACCACACCUAGCAUCCAGAUCUUGGUUCUAAAAAUCCAUUCUCAAGUAAAAGGAACCAGAGCUCAGUGGAGAAACAGCUGAUGAAAUAACUGCAAUGAUUGUGGCAGAAAAAAUACCAGAAGAGCCUGAAAUGUCUUGCACCCCAAAAAAGUACUCUCAGAAUGAUACAGAGAUGCCAAAAGGACACAGGAGCUGGCUUGAAGGGUAUCCCAAUGGCUGGAACUGGAGCAUUUUCAGCAUCAAAACCAAUAGUGAUAGUAAUGGCUUAUAAUCUAUUGGAUAAAAUAGAAAUCCACAAGUCCACGCUGAUGGAAAUAAGCCAAUAAGAAGGGAGAGGAAAAAACUUCUGUACAAUAGAAUCCCAACUAGUAAAUGGAAAACAAAUAUUGUAAUUAGAAAAACUACAAUUUGGCAAUCAUCCUAGUAACAGUUUAUGCAAGAAUCAUAAAAUAAGCAAGUGAAACUUUGUUAAGAAACCAGAUGUUUACAUAGCCUCAAAGUGUCUUCCUACAAAAUACUUAUUAAUUCAAAGGGAAAGAGAAUAACUUAACAGUGGAGAAAUUAUCACCUUAAGCCAUCAAAGUUAACAUCACCAACAAAAAAACAAUAUUAUGUGCCUUUUAAUAUGAUACAUUUGGAAGAAUACAAUUUCACUUCUAUCACAUUCCUGCCAAAAAAAAAUGUAUCACCUGAAUCUAAUCAAGAAGAAACAUCAGACAA